UACGGGGGGGGCAAGCGUUGUCCGGAAUUAUUGGGCGUAAAGAGCUCGUAGGCGGCUUGUCACGUCGGGUGUGAAAGCCCGGGGCUUAACCCCGGGUCUGCAUUCGAUACGGGCUAGCUAGAGUGUGGUAGGGGAGAUCGGAAUUCCUGGUGUAGCGGUGAAAUGCGCAGAUAUCAGGAGGAACACCGGUGGCGAAGGCGGGUCUCUGGGCCGAUACUGACGCUGAGGAGCGAAAGCGUGGGGAGCGAACAGG
rnacentral:rRNA from 1 species